GACGAACGCUGGCGGCGUGCUUAACACAUGCAAGUCGAACGAAGUGGCGAACGGGUGAGUAACGCGUAAUCAACCUGCCCUUCAGAGGGGGACAACAGUUGGAAACGACUGCUAAUACCGCAUACUGUAGGAGGGGAUUGCGUCUGAUUCGCUAGUUGGGGGGGUAACGGCCCACCAAGGCGAUGAUCAGGAGACGGUCUUGGAGGGUGAACGGCCACAUCGGGAAUGGGACACCGCCCAGACCCCUACGGGAGGCAGCAGGGGGGAAACUUCCGCAAUGGACGAAAGGCUUACGGAGCAACGCCGGGUGGGUGAUGACGGCCUUCGGGUUGUAAAGCUAUGUUAAUCGGGACGCGGUACCGGAAUAGAAAGCCACGGCUAACUACGUGCCAGCAGCCGCGGUAAUAC
rnacentral:rRNA from 1 species